rnacentral:lncRNA from 1 species
CAUGAAAGCCACCUAAUGAAGGCCGGUUGCCCUGCCAACCACGUCGCGUUCUGCUUAGGAGGAACCAAUCAGGAUGUGAGUUCCCUCUAGGCGUCGGCCUGUCAUUUGUGAGGUGGGAGUCUGGGCACUGGCUCACAAAGCCCUGCCCCCCCCAACUACCCCAUCCCACCUUUCAUUUAUUGGUAGCUGGUAGCAACUAUUUUAGUGUGAAUUAUAAAUAUGAAUUCUUAUGAAAUUUCUGUAUCCUAACGUACCUCAUGUACAACCUGACUUUCAAAGACCCUCAUACCUCACGGCCUCUGAGUUUUCUGGGAACUACACAGAAUGCAAUUUCUGCAGAUGAAAUUUCACUCUUCUUGGCCAGGCUGGAGAGCAAUGGCGCAAUCUCGACUGAGUGCAACCUCCACCUCCUGGGUUCAAACAAUUCUCCUGCCUCAGCCUCCCGAGGAGCUGAGAUUACAGGCAAGCAACACCAUACUCAGCUAAUUUUGGGUUUUUAGUAGAGACAGGGUUUUUCCAUGUUGGUCAGGAUGGUCUUGAACUCCGGAUCUCAGGUGAUCCGCCCACCUAGGCCUCCCAAAGUGCUGGGAUUACAGGCCUGAGCCACUGCACCUGGCCCAUUUCUACUUUUAACUAGCACUUACCCAGUAAAUAUAUUGUGAAUUGCGUCCUGACUAUGGUGAUUUAUUUAAACUUACUGAUCCUUUGUUUGAUUAUCUCAAAAAUAUUUAUAAUACCAAUUUUAUAUACUUGUUAAAAAUUAAAGAAAUAUAAUCCUUCUCCAUAUAUUGAACAAUCACAAAAUUAAAGACAUCGUGUACAGAUUUUUACUUACCUUAUUGAAGUCACAUAACAACUUUAUCUUUAAAUUACAAGCAUCAUUCCCAGAUUUAUACACACUUACCUUAUGCAGUCCUCAUAACAAUCCCACCUUUUACAGAUGAGCAAGCCGAGGCUCAGAGGAGUUAAAAGCACAUUGACCAUCAUGUCAUAAUGAGUGAUGGAACUGGGAUUCAAAUCCAGUCCUCCCUGCCUCAAAGGUGGUGCAACUUUACAAAGACCAAGUUACACCCAGCACGUGUAGGAUCAAAACAUGCAGAUUCCCUUUCUCUACCCUCUUACGUGUGAAUUUCAAUGGUUUUCACGGCCUCAGAACAAUCCUAAACUCUCUCCCAGGUUGCCUUUCAGUGGAUCACUUCUCUUUGGGGAUGAUUAGGAAUCUGCAUUUUUGGACCACAAGCAUCUAUAAAAAGUUGUGUUGAUCAUGAAAUAAAAAUUUCUACGCCAUAAGUUACUAACUGUGAAUUGUUUAGUUUCUCUUCUACAAAUAAUAGGCUAUUCUAUGUUAAUAAAUCACAGGAUCCACUGGAUUUUGAAAGAUUUGAAACGGUGCUGCAGGAGCAUCUGAAACACAGAGCAGGAGCCCCUCCAAAGCCCAGGUGUGGUGGUUCUUGCUUGUUAGCCCAGCAACGUGGGAGGCCAAGGUGGGUUAAUCACUUGAGACCAGGAGUUUGAGAACAGCCUGGGCAACACGGUGAGACCCUGUCUCUAUAAAAAAAAACCAUUUUUCAUGAGUAGAAACAAGAAGAGAACCUCUGACAUUACUUUAGUAUAGAGCUCCGGUCUAGAAUUGAACAUGUGAAAUUGUGAGUCCUAGAGCCAGUCCUCUUGCUCGGGGCCUGGGUCUAGUAAAGCGAACUAGGAGCAGGAGGGUGGAGCCCCAGGCUGUGGCUGUCUCCG